rnacentral:rRNA from 1 species
UACAGAGGGUGCGAGCGCUAAUCGGAAUUACUGGGCGUAAAGCGUGCGUAGACGGUUAUGUAAGUCGGGUGUGAAAGCCCCGGGCUCAACCUGGGAAUUGCAUUCGAGACUGCAUAGCUAGGGUGCGGAAGAGGGAAGCGGAAUUUCCGGUGUAGCGGUGAAAUGCGUAGAUAUCGGAAGGAACACCAGUGGCGAAAGCGGCUUCCUGGUCCAGCACCGACGUUCAGGCACGAAAGCGUGGGGAGCAAACAGG